GCGCAGCUCCGGAAGGGCACUCUAAGGAGACUGCCGGGGACAACCCGGAGGAAGGCGGGGAUGACGUCAAGUCCUCAUGCCCCUUAUGGGCGGGGCUACACACGUGCUACAAUGGUCGGUACAAAGGGAAGCAAACCCGCGAGGGGGAGCCAAUCCCAUAAAACCAAUCUCAGUCCGGAUUGCAGUCUGCAACUCGCCUACAUGAAGUCGGAAUCGCUAGUAAUCGCGAU
rnacentral:rRNA from 1 species